CACAUGACCUCAUCAAAUGUCUAUUCUGCGUGCAGACUGACUGGCACUGUGCCAUGAUCAAGGGAUGUAAUAUGCCGAUGGCAGAACGUAUUCUUGUUUGAUUUGUUGAAACUGACACUCUGCCAGCAAACAGAGGACACAAUAUGAGUUUCUCACCUCCAGUGGUGACUUAUGGGGAGUCAGCUCCUAUGGCCUAGACGGAACAUGCCUCCAGCCACUGCACCCGGCAACUAUCUCCAGCGGCAACAAUUCCCCAAUGACAAAUACUUCUGUAUAGGAUCCUCACUAUAGCCACACAUAUACCAAGACUAGCCGCACAAGAGCAGGGCAGAAAAGUGGUCAUGUCUGUGAUUGUUGAAAUAAAUCUCAUGUAUGAAGCAACUUCUCU
ensembl:lncRNA